rnacentral:rRNA from 1 species
GACGAACGCUGGCGGCGUGCUUAACACAUGCAAGUCGAACGGAAAGGCCCUGGUUUGGUGGGGUGCUCGAGUGGCGAACGGGUGAGUAACACGUGAGUAACCUGCCCUCGACGUUGGGAUAACUUCAGGGAACUGGGGCUAAUACCGGAUAGGAGCUCCGGCUGCAUGGUGGGGGUUGGAAAGUUUCGGCGGUUGGGGAUGAACUCGCGGGUUAUCAGCUUGUUGGUGGGGUAGUGGCUUACCACGGCUUUGACGGGUAGCCGGCGUGAGAGGGUGACCGGCCACCUUGGGACUGAGCUACGGGCGAGACUGCUAGGGGAGGCAGCAGUGGGGGAUAUUGCCCGAUGGGCGGAAGCCUGAUGCAGCAACGCCGCGUGCGGGAUGACGGCCUUCGGGUUGUAAACAGAUUUCGCCUGUGACGAUGCGUGAGUGACGGUAAUGUGUAAAGAAGCACCGGCUAACUACGUG